GUGAGGGGUGUACUCACUUUUGUGAGAUACUGUGUGUGUGUGUGUGUGUAUAUAUACAUAUAUAUAUAUACACACACACACAGUAUCUCACAAAAGUGAAUACACC
rnacentral:miRNA from 1 species